GACGAACGCUGGCGGCGUGCUUAACACAUGCAAGUCGAACGGUGAAGCGCCUUCCUUUUUGGUGGGUGUGGAUGAGUGGCGAACGGGUGAGUAACACGUGAGUAACCUGCCCCCUUCUUCUGGAUAACCGCAUGAAAGUGUGGCUAAUACGGGAUAUUCUGGGUCUGUCGCAUGAUGGGUCUGGGAAAGAUAUUGUUUCGGUGGGGGAUGGGCUCGCGGCCUAUCAGCUUGUUGGUGGGGUGAUGGCCUACCAAGGCGGUGACGGGUAGCCGGCCUGAGAGGGUGGACGGUCACACUGGAACUGAGACACGGCCCAGACUCCUACGGGAGGCAGCAGUGGGGAAUAGUGCACAAUGGGCGCAAGCCUGAUGCAGCGACGCCGCGUGAGGGAUGGAGGCCUUCGGGUUGUGAACCUCUUUCGCCAGUGAAGCAGGCCUGCCUCGUUUGUGGGUGGGUUGACGGUAGCUGGAGAAGAAGCGCCGGCUAACUACGUG
rnacentral:rRNA from 1 species